GUGCAGCAGGCGCGAAACCUUCGCAAUGCGGGAAACCGCGACGAGGGGACUCCCAGUGCCUACGCUCAGCGUAGGCUGUUCCCGAGCCUAGAAAGCUCGGGGAGUAAGGGCUGGGUAAGACGGGUGCCAGCCGCCGCGGUAAUACCCGCAGCCCGAGUGGUGGCCACUAUUAUUGGGCCUAAAGCGUCCGUAGCCGGCCCGGUAAAUGCCUGGGUAAAUCGUGAGGCCUAACCUCACGAAUUCCGGGUAGACUGCCGGGCUAGGGACCGGAGGAGGGAGAGGGUACUCCAGGGGUAGGGGUGAAAUCCUGUAAUCCCUGGAGGACCACCGGUGGCGAAGGCGCUCUCCUAGGACGGGUCCGACGGUGAGGGACGAAAGCCAGGGGAGCGAACCGGAUUAGAUACCCCCGUAGU
rnacentral:rRNA from 1 species